UUCAGAUUGACGGUGUCGUGCUGAAUGAUUACACGGGCAAUAAAAUACCGCGAAAAUAAUUUUGAAGCGGGAAACCUAAACGCCCCCUAUGUUACAUUGAUGAAAACACCCAGGAGAAAUUAAUUUCACUCUAAUGCACUGCCCGUUUAAACGAAUGAAAUUACAAUUCUCCUGGUAUAAACAACCCAUCAAUGUAGACAUAACACCAAUACUGUACCAAAUAUCCAAGUAUUAUAAUUAAUACUUGUACCAAAUAUCCA
rnacentral:lncRNA from 1 species